CAGCAGCCACGGUAAUACGAAGGGGGCUAGCGUUGCUCGGAAUUACUGGGCGUAAAGGGAGCGUAGGCGGACAUUUAAGUCAGGGGUGAAAUCCCGGGGCUCAACCUCGGAAUUGCCUUUGAUACUGGGUGUCUUGAGUAUGAGAGAGGUAUGUGGAACUCCGAGUGUAGAGGUGAAAUUCGUAGAUAUUCGGAAGAACACCAGUGGCGAAGGCGACAUACUGGCUCAUUACUGACGCUGAGGCUCGAAAGCGUGGGGAGCAAACAGGAUUAGAGACCCCCGUAGUCCCUGUCUCUUAUAC
rnacentral:rRNA from 1 species